rnacentral:misc_RNA from 1 species
UAUUUUGUUGGAAGGAAAAAGGAAAAAGGAAAAAUUAAAAGUCCAUUCCAUUCUUUGUAAGAAGGAAAAUAUGAAAAGAGAAAAAGUUAUUCGGAUUUAUAUGAAAAGCCAUUUUAUUUCCUUCCAAAUUGAGCGGAAACUAGUAAAAAACAGUGUUUAUUUUUUUCUGUUUUCCAUCUAUGCCCUUUUUUCCUCAAAUUGUUAUUUUUUAAUAUAAUUUUUUUAUUCAAUAUGAGCAUAGUUAUAAUAUGUAAUAAAUUUUUUUCUCACUUAUCUUUUCAUACAAAUAUGGAAAGUAAAUAAAUCACUUUCCUUCUUUCUUUUUCCUAUGGAAAAGAUUUUCCUUACGGAAAAGAUUCUCCUUACAAACAUGGAAAACAAUAAUUUUCGUUUCCAUA